rnacentral:rRNA from 1 species
UCGGGAAUUUUGGGCAAUGGGCGAAAGCCUGACCCAGCAACGCCGCGUGAAGGAUGAAGUAUUUCGGUAUGUAAACUUCGAAAGAAUAGGAAGAAUAAAUGACGGUACUAUUUAUAAGGUCCGGCUAACUACGUGCCAGCAGCCGCGGUAAUACGUAGGGACCAAGCGUUGUUCGGAUUUACUGGGCGUAAAGGGCGCGUAGGCGGCAAUUCAAGUCAUCUGUGAAAUCUCCGGGCUUAACUCGGAACGGUCAGAUGAUACUGCUUUGCUAGAGUGCAGAAGGGGCAAUCGGAAUUCUUGGUGUAGCGGUGAAAUGCGUAGAUAUCAAGAGGAACACCUGAGGUGAAGACGGGUUGCUGGGCUGACACUGACGCUGAGGCGCGAAAGCGUGGGGAGCAAACAGGAUUAGAUACCCACGUAGUCCCUGAGCGGGCUGGCAAGGCGCAU